rnacentral:rRNA from 1 species
UACGGAGGAUCCGAGCGUUAUCCGGAUUUAUUGGGUCUAAAGGGAGCGUAGGCGGGUUGUUAAGUCAGUUGUGAAAGUUUGCGGCUCAACCGUAAAAUUGCAGUUGGUACUGGCAUCCUUGAGUACAGUAGAGGUAGGCGGAAUUCGUGGUGUAGCGGUGAAAUGCUUAGAUAUCACGAAGAACUCCGAUUGCGAAGGCAGCCUGCUGGACUGUAACUGACGCUGAUGCUCGAAAGUGUGGGUAUCAAACAGG